CAGAUUAUGGGGUAGUGGUAACCUGGGUCGUUGCCAUCUCUUGCAUUGUACGCAAUUCCUAUCGACCCGCCGGGGGUUCGAUUCCCCCUUGAUGCA